rnacentral:tRNA from 1 species
GGGCCCAUAGCGCAGCUGGGAGCGCGCCUCAAUGGCAUUGAGGAGGCCGGGAGUUCGAACCUCCCUGGGUCCACUA